CCUACGGGAGGCAGCAGUGAGGAAUAUUGGUCAAUGGGCGGAAGCCUGAACCAGCCAAGUAGCGUGCGGGAUGAAGGCCCUACGGGUCGUAAACCGCUUUUGCACGGGGAUAACACCCUCCACUUGUGGAGGUCUGCAGGUACCGUGCGACUCAGGGCCGGCUAAUUCCGUGCCAGCAGCCGCGGUAAUACGGAAGGCCGGAGCGUUAUCCGGAUUCAUUGGGCUUAAAGGGCGCGUGGGCGGGCGUUCAAGUCAGCUGUAAAAUCGCGCGGCUCAACCGCGCCCCGCAGUUGAAACUGGACGCCUUGAGUUCACAACAGGCAGGCGGAAUUCGUGGUGUAGCGGUGAAAUGCAUAGAUAUCACGAGGAACCCCGAUUGCGAAGGCAGCCUGCCGGGGUGCGACUGACGCUGAGGCUCGAAGGUGCGGGUAGCAAACAGGAUUAGAUACCCUUGUAGUC
rnacentral:rRNA from 1 species